AAACUCAAAUGAAUUGACGGGGGCCUGCACAAGCGGUGGAGCAUGUGGUUUAAUUCGAAGCAACGCGCAGAACCUUACCAGCGUUUGACAUGGUAGGGCGACUGGCAGAGAUGCCUUUCUUCCCUUCGGGGACCUACACACAGGUGCUGCAUUGCUGUCGUCAGCUCGUGUCGUGAGAUGUUGGGUUAAGUCCCGCAACGAGCGCAACCCUCGCCUUUAGUUACCAUCAUUUAGUUGGGUACUCUAAAGGAACCGCCGGUGAUAAGCCGGAGGAAGGUGGGGAUGACGUCAAGUCCUCAUGGCCCUUACGCGCUGGGCUACACACGUGCUACAAUGGCGGUGACAGUGGGCAGCAAUCCCGCGAGGGUGAGCUAAUCUCCAAAAGCCGUCUCAGUUCGGAUUGUUCUCUGCAACUCGAGAGCAUGAAGGCGGAAUCGCUAGUAAUCGCGGAUCAGCAUGCCGCGGUGAGUACGUUCCCAGGCCUUGUACACACCGCCCGU
rnacentral:rRNA from 1 species